AAACAAAAUGAAUUUGUCGGGGCGGAUAUUUUUCUGCCCCGCGUAUUCAACCAACCCGCUCUUGUAUUUGGAUCAAACGUCAAACAAAAACUUUUAUAUAUUAUAAAUAAAAAAU
rnacentral:misc_RNA from 1 species